rnacentral:rRNA from 1 species
GUGGGGAAUAUUGGACAAUGGGCGCAAGCCUGAUCCAGCCAUGCCGCGUGAGUGAUGAAGGCCCUAGGGUUGUAAAGCUCUUUCACCGAUGAAGAUAAUGACGGUAGUCGGAGAAGAAGCCCCGGCUAACUUCGUGCCAGCAGCCGCGGUAAUACGAAGGGGGCUAGCGUUGUUCGGAAUUACUGGGCGUAAAGCGCACGUAGGCGGGUAUUUAAGUCAGGGGUGAAAUCCCGGAGCUCAACUCCGGAACUGCCUUUGAUACUGGGUACCUAGAGUAUGGAAGAGGUAAGUGGAAUUCCGAGUGUAGAGGUGAAAUUCGUAGAUAUUCGGAGGAACACCAGUGGCGAAGGCGGCUUACUGGUCCAUUACUGACGCUGAGGUGCGAAAGCGUGGGGAGCAAACAGGAUUAGAAACCCUUGUAGUCC